GGAGGGAGCACCAGAUCCUGGGCUGUGUCCCUGGUGCCCUGUGCUCCUGGGCCUGCGCUGUUGGAUUCGCUCUCAGCCACGCAGCCCCCU
rnacentral:pre_miRNA from 1 species